AAGUUAAUAAACUAAAACUUUCAACAACGGAUCUCUUGGUUCUGGCAUCGAUGAAGAACGCAGCGAAAUGCGAUAAGUAAUGUGAAUUGCAGAAUUCAGUGAAUCAUCGAAUCUUUGAACGCACAUUGCGCCCCUUGGUAUUCCGGGGGGCAUGCCUGUUC
rnacentral:rRNA from 1 species